rnacentral:rRNA from 1 species
AGAGUUUGAUCCUGGCUCAGAAUCAACGCUGACGGCGUGCCUCAGACAUGCAAGUCGAACGAUUAAAGCUCUCUUCGGAGAGUGUAUAGAGUGGCGCACGGGUGAGUAACACGUAAGUAAUCUACCCUCGAGUGGGGAAUAACAGUCGGAAACGACUGCUAAUACCGCAUAACGCAGCGGCACCGCAAGGUGACAGUUGUUAAAGGAGUAAUUCGCUUGAGGAGGAGCUUGCGGCAGAUUAGCUUGUUGGUAAGGUAACGGCUUACCAAGGCUACGAUCUGUAUCCGGUCUAAGAGGACGGUCGGACACACUGACACUGAAUAACGGGUCAGACUCCUACGGGAGGCAGCAGUCGGGAAUUUUGGGCAAUGGGCGAAAGCCUGACCCAGCAACGCCGCGUGAAGGAUGAAGUAUUUCGGUAUGUAAACUUCGAAAGAAUAGGAAGAAUAAAUGACGGUACUAUUUAUAAGCUCCGGCUAACUACGUGCCAGCAGCCGCGGUAAU